rnacentral:rRNA from 1 species
AUCUACGGCCAUACCAUCCUGAACACACCCAAUCUGUCUGAUCUCAGAAGCUAAGCAGGGUGAGGCCUGGUUAGUACUUGGACGGGAGAAGCUCCUCUCUCAACACCUACCCAUCAGGUGGCUGUGAGCA